GGGUGGUUUUUUUCCUCCCCCCUUUCUUCUUCUUCUUCUUCUUCUAACUUUAAAUACUUCAGAAGGGAGUGGUUUAUUUCUCUCCUUUUCCUCUAGGGCAAGAAAGGAAGAAAAGAAGAAGAAAAACCCCACUGAUUAUUGCAAUUCAUUAAAAUAUUUUAUCCAUGCUCACAUUAGUGGAUUUCACUGUUUUUUCUAGAUGAGUGCUGUUUUGUUUUUUAAAAGGUUUUUCCCCCCUUCCUAACUUCUGUGUGGAAAGUCAAUCCUAAUAAAUAUAUUUUGCUCCCUUAAACUCCCCCCCCCCGAAUUUACCCUAUUGUGUUUGCCCCACUGGGGUAAAUCAAUUUAGUAUGAAAGUGUAGUUUUAGCAAAUACCUUGAUUACAAAGGUUCCCCCCCUCCUUCUCUCACCAAAACGUUGGGGAUUUUUUUUUUGAGCUGAUUUUGAAAAUAAUUAUGGCCACAAUCCAACACUGAGUGUUGAAGUCCCAAGAAAGUCGCUGGGCGUAAGGACGUAUACCUCUCUUACGGAUUGUGGCCCUUACUUUCUCUCCCUGUUUUAUAAAUGGGGAAAGAAUGCACCACUAAAGGGAAAUUAAUAAGUAAAAUGGGGAAGCAUUUUAUAAUAAUGAAGGAUGGCUAUCACAUUUUAUUUUUGGACAAGCCUCAUGCAUCUAGAUAAUUUGAGUUUAAGACUUAAAAUACAGUAUUGAAAAAGUUAGCUUUCCUUUUAUUUGUGGCCUUUGAUCUCAAACCCUCUAAUAAUAAUGGAUGAACCAAUAGGAAGUUUUAAAGGACUCAAUUCUUUAUUUUUUUUCCAAACCAGGUGGCUCUGAUAAUCUCUCAUUUUAGUGUCUGUUAUGUUGGGGCAAGUGAGACUGUCCUGUCUGCACAAAUAAGGCCUGCAAAAUCUAGCUGUCCAUGAGCCAUUCCAUAUAGCAAAAUACCCCACACAAAAAGAUGGAGUUUGGAAGGGACAUGAUAGAAGUGAAGAACUGAAGCUGCAAUCACAAGCACCACAUGCAGGUGCAGUUUUUGAAGACUGUGAGGAGCGAGACAGGAUCACCAGUAACCAUAAGGAGCAGUGGGAAAGUGGUGCAGGAAGAUGCUCAGGCAGCUUACUGUGAGGAGCACGCAGGGUGCCUAUUGGGAAAGACAGCUGGAGUCCUGAGGCCAGCUGGUGUAGCACUGUGCAAAAUCCAAAAUGAGGAACAAAUAUUGUGUGGCACCUGUAACAGUGCCAGUUCUGCUGAUCCAAGCAGUCGUGUGGACAUAGAAGGUGAUCUCACAGGUUCUUAUCCAUGUCUAGAUUGACGCGUUCGUAUUUCCACGUAUAGCUGGCUGCAUGGGCGUUGUAGGGCAAGUACCGCCGAAGGAUCUCCCACAUGGAUUCC